UCCCAAUAGAUCAGUCAGUAGAGCAUGAGUCUCUUAAUCUCAGGGUUGUGGGUUCAAGUCCCAUGUUGGGCAAAA